UACGUAGGGUCCGAGCGUUGUCCGGAAUUAUUGGGCGUAAAGAGCUCGUAGGCGGUCUGUCACGUCGGCUGUGAAAACACGGGGCUCAACUCCGUGCCUGCAGUCGAUACGGGCAGACUAGAGUUCGGUAGGGGAGACUGGAAUUCCUGGUGUAGCGGUGAAAUGCGCAGAUAUCAGGAGGAACACCGGUGGCGAAGGCGGUUCGCGGGGCAUUACCUGACGCUGAGGAGCGAAAGUGUGGGGAGCGAACAGG
rnacentral:rRNA from 1 species